rnacentral:rRNA from 1 species
UUGGAGAGUUUGAUCCUGGCUCAGGAUGAACGCUGGCGGCGUGCCUAAUACAUGCAAGUCGAGCGAACAGAUAAGGAGCUUGCUCCUUUGACGUUAGCGGCGGACGGGUGAGUAACACGUGGGUAACCUACCUAUAAGACUGGAAUAACUCCGGGAAACCGGGGCUAAUGCCGGAUAACAUUUAGAACCGCAUGGUUCUAAAGUGAAAGAUGGUUUUGCUAUCACUUAUAGAUGGACCCGCGCCGUAUUAGCUAGUUGGUAAGGUAACGGCUUACCAAGGCAACGAUACGUAGCCGACCUGAGAGGGUGAUCGGCCACACUGGAACUGAGACACGGUCCAGACUCCUACGGGAGGCAGCAGUAGGGAAUCUUCCGCAAUGGGCGAAAGCCUGACGGAGCAACGCCGCGUGAGUGAUGAAGGUCUUCGGAUCGUAAAACUCUGUUAUUAGGGAAGAACAAAUGUGUAAGUAACUGUGCACGUCUUGACGGUACCUAAUCAGAAAGCCACGGCUAACUACGUGCCAGCAGCCGCGGUAAUA